rnacentral:rRNA from 1 species
GAUGAACGCUGGCGGCGUGCCUAAUACAUGCAAGUCGAGCGAACGGACGAGAAGCUUGCUUCUCUGAUGUUAGCGGCGGACGGGUGAGUAACACGUGGAUAACCUACCUAUAAGACUGGGAUAACUUCGGGAAACCGGAGCUAAUACCGGAUAAUAUUUUGAACCGCAUGGUUCAAAAGUGAAAGACGGUCUUGCUGUCACUUAUAGAUGGUUCCGCGCUGCAUUAGCUAGUUGGUAAGGUAACGGCUUACCAAGGCAACGAUGCAUAGCCGACCUGAGAGGGUGAUCAGCCACACUGGAACUGAGACACGGUCCAGACUCCUACGGGAGGCAGCAGUAGGGAAUCUUCCGCAAUGGGCGAAAGCCUGACGGAGCCACGCCGCGUGAGUGAUGAAGGUCUUCGGAUCGUAAAGCUCUGUUAUUAGGGAAGAACAUCUGUGUAAGUAACUGUGCACAUCUUGACGGUACCUAAUCAGAAAGCCACGGCUAACUACGUG